rnacentral:rRNA from 1 species
AACGGGUGAGUAACACGUGGGUAACCUGCCCAGAAGUAGGGGAUAACACCUGGAAACAGAUGCUAAUACCGUAUAACAGAGAAAACCGCAUGGUUUUCUUUUAAAAGAUGGCUUUGCUAUCAAUUUUGGAUGGACCCGCGGCGUAUUAGCUAGUUGGUGAGGUAAAGGCUCACCAAGGCAGUGAUACGUAGCCGACCUGAGAGGGUAAUCGGCCACAUUGGGACUGAGACACGGCCCAGACUCCUACGGGAGGCAGCAGUAGGGAAUUUUCCACAAUGGACGCAAGUCUGAUGGAGCAACGCCGCGUGAGUGAAGAAGGGUUUCGGCUCGUAAAGCUCUGUUGUUAAAGAAGAACGUGGGUAAGAGUAACUGUUUACCCAGUGACGGUAUUUAACCAGAAAGCCACGGCUAACUACGUGCCAGCAGCCGCGGUAAUACGUAGGUGGCAAGCGUUAUCCGGAUUUAUUGGGCGUAAAGCGAGCGCAGGCGGUCUUUUAAGUCUAAUGUGAAAGCCUUCGGCUCAACCGAAGAAGUGCAUGGAAACUGGGAGAC